rnacentral:rRNA from 1 species
UACGUAGGGUGCGAGCGUUGUCCGGAAUUAUUGGGCGUAAAGAGCUCGUAGGCGGUUUGUCGCGUCUAUCGUGAAAACUAGCAGCUUAACUGUUGGCGUGCGGUGGAUACGGGCAGACUUGAGUUCGGUAGGGGAGACUGGAAUUCCUGGUGUAGCGGUGAAAUGCGCAGAUAUCAGGAGGAACACCGGUGGCGAAGGCGGCGCUCUGGGCCGGUACUGACGCUGAGGAGCGAAAGCGUGGGUAGCAAACAGG